rnacentral:rRNA from 1 species
UUGACCUCAAAUCAGGUAGGACUACCCGCUGAACUUAAGCAUAUCAAUAAGCGGAGGAAAAGAAACUAACAAGGAUUCCCCUAGUAACUGCGAGUGAAGCGGGAAAAGCUCAAAUUUGAAAUCUGGCAGCUCUCGAACUGUCCGAAUUGUAAUCUAGAGAAGUGUUACCUGUGCUGGACCAUGUACAAGUCUUCUGGAAUGGAGCAUCACAGAGGGUGAGAAUCCCGUCUUUGACAUGGACUGCCUGCACGUUGUGGUGCGCUCUCGAAGAGUCGAGUUGUUUGGGAAUGCAGCUCAAAAUGGGUGGUAAAUGCCAUCUAAAGCUAAAUAUUGGCGAGAGACCGAUAGCGAACAAGUACCGUGAGGGAAAGAUGAAAAGAACUUUGGAAAGAGAGUUAAACAGUACGUGAAAUUGCUGAAAGGGAAACGCUUGAAGUCAGUCACGUCGGCUAGAAAUCAGCCUUGCUUUUGCUUGGUGUACUUUCUGGCUGAUGGGUCAGCAUCAAUUUCGACCAUUGGAUAAAGUUGAUGGGAAUGUGGCAUCUUCGGAUGUGUUAUAGCCCAUUGUCGCAUAUGGUGGUUGGGAUUGAGGAACUCAGCACGCCACAAAGGCUGGGUCCUUUUUGGACCAC